rnacentral:rRNA from 1 species
CAGCAGCCGCGGUAAUACAGAGGGUGCGAGCGUUAAUCGGAUUUACUGGGCGUAAAGCGUGCGUAGGCGGCUUCUUAAGUCGGAUGUGAAAUCCCUGAGCUUAACUUAGGAAUUGCAUUCGAUACUGGGAAGCUAGAGUAUGGGAGAGGAUGGUAGAAUUCCAGGUGUAGCGGUGAAAUGCGUAGAGAUCUGGAGGAAUACCGAUGGCCAAGGCAGCCAUCUGGCCUAAUACUGACGCUGAGGUACGAAAGCAUGGGGAGCAAACAGGAUUAGAUACCCGCGUAGUCCCUGUCUCUUAUAC